AACGAACAAUGAGGAUAUGAAACCAGGACUGCAGUAAGUCAUUCAUACCAGCUAGCAGGCCAGGAGUCUUCUAUCUGAGCAUGUAGAAGAGGUUGGUGUCCUUGUAUAA